rnacentral:rRNA from 1 species
UACGUAGGGGGCAAGCGUUGUCCGGAAUCAUUGGGCGUAAAGAGCGCGUAGGCGGCCAGGUAGGUGGGUUGUGAAAACUGGAGGCUCAACCUUCAGACGUCGACCCAAACCCCCUGGCUAGAGUCCGGAAGAGGAGAGUGGAAUUCCUGGUGUAGCGGUGAAAUGCGCAGAUAUCAGGAAGAACACCCGUGGCGAAGGCGGCUCUCUGGGACGGUACUGACGCUGAGACGCGAAAGCGUGGGGAGCGAACAGG